UACGAAGGGGGCUAGGGUUGUUCGGCAUUACUGGGCGUAAAGCGCACGUCGGCGGAUUUGUUAGUCAGGGGUGAAAUCCCGGGGCUCAACCUCGGAACUGCCUUUGAUACUGCAAGUCUCGAGUCCGGAAGAGGUGAGUGGAAUUCCUAGUGUAGAGGUGAAAUUCGUAGAUACUAGGAAGAACACCAGUGGCGAAGGCGGCUCACUGGUCCGGUACUGACGCUGAGGUGCGAAAGCGUGGGGAGCAAACAGG
rnacentral:rRNA from 1 species